rnacentral:rRNA from 1 species
AACGAACGCUGGCGGCAGGCUUAACACAUGCAAGUCGAGCGCCCCGCAAGGGGAGCGGCAGACGGGUGAGAACGCGUGGGAAUCUACCCAUCUCUACGGAAUAACGCAUGGAAACGUGUGCUAAUACCGUAUACGUCCUUCGGGAGAAAGAUUUAUCGGAGAUGGAUGAGCCCGCGUUGGAUUAGCUAGUUGGGGGGGUAAAGGCCUACCAAGGCGACGAUCCAUAGCUGGUCUGAGAGGACGAUCAGCCACACUGGGACUGAGACACGGCCCAGACUCCUACGGGAGGCAGCAGUGGGGAAUAUUGGACAAUGGGCGCAAGCCUGAUCCAGCCAUGCCGCGUGAGUGAUGAAGGCCCUAGGGUUGUAAAGCUCUUUCACCGGUGAAGAUAAUGACGGUAACCGGAGAAGAAGCCCCGGCUAACUUCGUGCCAGCCGCCGCGGUAACAC